UACAGAGACUGCAAGCGUUAUUCGGAUUCAUUGGGCGUAAAGGGUGCGCAGGCGGUUGGGUGUGUCAGAUGUGGAAAUCCCGAGCUCAAACCUCGGAGCUGCGUCUGAAAACUGACUCGACUAGAGUACUGGAGGAGGGUAACGGAAAUUCACGGUGUAGCAGUGAAAUGCGUAGAUAUCGUGAGGAACACCAGAGGCGAAGGCGGUUACCUGGACAGUUACUGACGCUCAGGCACGAAAGCAUGGGGAGCAAAAGGG
rnacentral:rRNA from 1 species